GAUGAACGCUGGCGGCGUGCCUAAUACAUGCAAGUCGAGCGAACAGAUAAGGAGCUUGCUCCUUUGACGUUAGCGGCGGACGGGUGAGUAACACGUGGGUAACCUACCUAUAAGACUGGCAUCACUCCGGGAAACCGGAGCUAAUGCCGGAUAACAUUUAGAACCGCAUGGUUCUACAGUGAAAGAUGGUUUUGCUAUCCCUUAUAGAUGGACCCGCGUCGGAUUAGCUAGUUGGUACGGUAACGGCUUACCAAGGCAACGAUACGUAGCCGACCUGAGAGGGUGAUCGGUCACACUGGAACUGAGACACGGUCCAGACUCCUACGGGAGGCAGCAGUAGGGAAUCUUGCGCAAUGGGCGAAAGCCUGACGGAGCAACGCCGCGUGAGUGAUGAAGGUCUUCGGAUCGUAAAACUCUGUUAUUAGGGAAGAACAAAUGUGUAAGUAACUGUGCACGUCUUGACGUUACCUAAACAGAAAGCCACGGCUAACUACGUG
rnacentral:rRNA from 1 species